UAGGGAAUCUUCGGCAAUGGGGGGAACCCUGACCGAGCAACGCCGCGUGAGUGAAGAAGGUUUUCGGAUCGUAAAGCUCUGUUGUUAAGGAAGAACGAGUGUGAGAAUGGAAAGUUCAUACUGUGACGGUACUUAACCAGAAAGGGACGGCUAACUACGUGCCAGCAGCCGCGGUAAUACGUAGGUCCCGAGCGUUGUCCGGAUUUAUUGGGCGUAAAGCGAGCGCAGGCGGUUAGAUAAGUCUGAAGUUAAAGGCAGUGGCUCAACCAUUGUAGGCUUUGGAAACUGUUUAACUUGAGUGCAGAAGGGGGGAGUGGAAUUCCAUGUGUAGCGGUGAAAUGCGUAGAUAUAUGGAGGAACACCGGUGGCGAAAGGGGCUCUCUGGUGUGUAACUGACGCUGAGGCUCGAAAGCGUGGGGAGCGAACAGG
rnacentral:rRNA from 1 species